UCCUUCUGUUCUCCUACCACAGGUCCCAGACAAGCCAAACUGAACACACUCCUAGAACACGGCAAGCCGUUCCCCACUCCCAAGCCUAUGUUCCCACUUUCCUGCCUGCCCGAAAUGCCUUUUUCCCGCCACAGUGCCUAGGGAGUAACCUCACCCCUCGCAGCUCCGCUGAAGUACCACACCUUUCUAGCAAGCAUCUCUGAUGAGAAGGGAAGUCAGUCAUCCCUUCUCUAGAAAAAGUCCAGAGCAAAGGUUCUGGAACCAGAAUGCCUGGGAUAAAGCCCCAGCCUCGCCAUAUUCCACAUGUCUGACAAUGGGCAAGUUAACUGACUUCUUCAUAUAUCCAGUUCCUAAUCUGUGAAAUGGGAGUAAAAUAUCUUGAGUACAGAGCUAUUGCCAGCAGCUCGCUCCACGCCGGUGUCUUCCUCACUCCUCCUUCCCACUCGCCAAACACACCAGCAGCUCAGGAGGCUGCAAGGGCUGCCCGCCGUCCCUGGUCUGGCUGAUAAGUGUCCGAAGUUCCCAACUUCUUCGAGCUGACCCACUUGAAUCACCUUUUGGAUAUGCUGGUUCUGCAGGAAGUAUGUUUUUCACACAAGUUAAGAUUUACGACACAGACACAGCUGAUGUAAUUGAGAGCAGGACUGAAGUGCUAAGGCACUGUGGUGUAUUUCAAGAUAAGGCAACAAAGAGCUUUUAAAAAAGGCUGAAGGAGGACACGGAAGGGAUACUUAGUUACAGAGCAAGCACCCAGGAGCCCAGAGAGUGAGAGCAUGCACGUCAGAGGAGGAGUCAUAAAGCAAAUGACCAGCUGAGCACCAAAUACCUGAAU